AACGAACGCUGGCGGCAUGCCUAACACAUGCAAGUCGAACGAUUGCCUUCGGGUGAUAGUGGUGCACGGGUGCGUAACGCGUGGGAAUCUGCCCUUAGGUUCGGAAUAACAGCUGGAAACGGCUGCUAAUACCGGAUGAUAUCGCGAGAUCAAAGAUUGAUCGCCUGAGGAUGAGCCCGCGUUGGAUUAGGUAGUUGGUGGGGUAAAGGCCUACCAAGCCGACGAUCCAUAGCUGGUCUGACAGGCUGAUUGGCCACACUGGGACUGAGACACGGCCCCGACUCCUACGGGAGGCAGCAGUGUGGAAUAUUGUACAAUGGGCGCAAGCCUGAUCCAGCAAUGCCGCGUGAGUGAUGAAGGCCCUAGGGUUGUAAAUCUCUUUUACCCGGGAAGAUAAUGACUGUACCGGGAGAAUAAGCCCCGGCUAACUCCGUG
rnacentral:rRNA from 1 species